rnacentral:rRNA from 1 species
CCAGAGAUGGAUUUGUGCCUUCGGGAACUGUGAGACAGGUGCUGCAUGGCUGUCGUCAGCUCGUGUUGUGAAAUGUUGGGUUAAGUCCCGCAACGAGCGCAACCCUUAUCCUUUGUUGCCAGCGGUUAGGCCGGGAACUCAAAGGAGACUGCCAGUGAUAAACUGGAGGAAGGUGGGGAUGACGUCAAGUCAUCAUGGCCCUUACGACCAGGGCUACACACGUGCUACAAUGGCGCAUACAAAGAGAAGCGACCUCGCGAGAGCAAGCGGACCUCAUAAAGUGCGUCGUAGUCCGGAUUGGAGUCUGCAACUCGACUCCAUGAAGUCGGAAUCGCUAGUAAUCGUGGAUCAGAAUGCCACGGUGAAUACGUUCCCGGGCCUUGUACACACCGCCCGUCACACCAUGGGAGUGGGUUGCAAAAGAAGUAGGUAGCUUAACCUUCGGGAGGGCGCUUACCACUUUGUGAUUCAUGACUGGGGUGAAGUCGUAACAAGGUAACCGUAGGGGAACCUGCGGUUGGA